CCUACGGGAGGCAGCAGUAGGGAAUCUUCCACAAUGGGCGAAAGCCUGAUGGAGCAACGCCGCGCGGGUGAAGAAGGUCUUCGGAUCGUAAAACUCUGUUGUUAGAGAAGAAAGUGCGUGAGAGUAACUGUUCACGUUUCGACGGUAUCUAACCAGAAAGCCACGGCUAACUACGUGCCAGCAGCCGCGGUAAUACGUAGGUGGCAAGCGUUAUCCGGAUUUAUUGGGCGUAAAGGGAACGCAGGCGGUCUUUUAAGUCUGAUGUGAAAGCCUUCGGCUUAACCGGAGUAGUGCAUUGGAAACUGGGAGACUUGAGUGCAGAAGAGGAGGGUGGAACUCCAGGUGUAGCGGUGAAAUGCGUAGAUAUAUGGAAGAACACCAGUGGCGAAAGCGGCUCUCUGGUCUGUAACUGACGCUGAGGUUCGAAAGCGUGGGUAGCAAACAGGAUUAGAUACCCGAGUAGUC
rnacentral:rRNA from 1 species